CUAUACUGCAAGUCGAGCGGACAGAUGGGAGCUGCGCUGAUGUAGCGGCGGACGGGUGAGUAACACGUGGGUACUGCCUGUAAGACUGGGAUAACUCCGGGAAACCGGGGCUAAUACCGGAUGGUUGUUGAACCGCAUGGUUCAGACAUAAAAGGUGGCUUCGGCUACCACUUACAGAUGGACCGCGGCGCAUAGCUAGUUGGUGAGGUAACGGCUCACCAAGGCGACGAUGCGUAGCCGACCUGAGAGGGUGAUCGGCCACACUGGGACUGAGACACGGCCCAGACUCCUACGGGAGGCAGCAGUAGGGAAUCUUCCGCAAUGGACGAAAGUCUGACGGAGCAACGCCGCGUGAGUGAUGAAGGUUUUCGGAUCGUAAAGCUCUGUUGUUAGGGAAGAACAAGUGCCGUUCAAAUAGGGCGGCACCUUGACGGUACCUAACCAGAAAGCCACGGCUAACUACGUGCCAGCAGCCGCGGUAAUACGUAGGUGGCAAGCGUUGUCCGGAAUUAUUGGGCGUAAAGGGCUCGCAGGCGGUUUCUUAAGUCUGAUGUGAAAGCCCCCGGCUCAACCGGGGAGGGUCAUUGGAAACUGGGGAACUUGAGUGCAGAAGAGGAGAGUGGAAUUCCACGUGUAGCGGUGAAAUGCGUAGAGAUGUGGAGGAACACCAGUGGCGAAGGCGACUCUCUGGUCUGUAACUGACGCUGAGGAGCGAAAGCGUGGGGAGCGAACAGGAUUAGAUACCCUGGUAGUCCACGCCGUAAACGAUGAGUGCUAAGUGUUAGGGGGUUUCCGCCCCUUAGUGCUGCAGCUAACGCAUUAAGCACUCCGCCUGGGGAGUACGGUCGCAAGACUGAAACUCAAAGGAAUUGACGGGGGCCCGCACAAGCGGUGGAGCAUGUGGUUUAAUUCGAAGCAACGCGAAGAACCUUACCAGGUCUUGACAUCCUCUGACAAUCCUAGAGAUAGGACGUCCCCUUCGGGGGCAGAGUGACAGGUG
rnacentral:rRNA from 1 species